CAGGGAGGGACGGAUGAGGGUGGUGGCGUCUGUUGAGUUGACUUCCACGUUCCCUUCCGAGCUUCUCUUCGGAUGCGGGCUGCACGCAGGAGAUUGUCGCCAGGGGCCGCUGCGUCUAGGCUAGGGGGCAGAUCUUAAGCCUCCCCUUCGGCUCAAGAGCCCGGAAUCCCCUUCCUCCCUCCCUGCCUUGGCGGGGCUCUUCCCUUCCUCCUCCCUUUCCCCGAAGGCCCCUCCUAAUCCCUCGCUCGCCGGAGCGGGAGGCCUUAAGCUGCCUUUUCAGGACCUUUCCUCGGCGCGCUCUGGCUCUCGGCGCUUUCAAUGGCUCUCCCUGGCAGGAGACGUGUUGGACAAGUGGAGGGAUCCGUCCCCCGCCAGCAAGGUCAAGGUGCGCUUAAAGGCAGCUCCUUCCCUCGACUGGGCGGCGGGCGCCGAUGUGCCAGGUUUGAGGGCUGCGAGGAACAAUGCAAGGGUUUGUUCCCUCCGCCAGCAGCGUCUCUCUCUCGUCCCGCUAGAAAGGAUCCAGUCCUGGCACCGAGACAGGGCUGUCUAGAGCUGCUGCCCCCACGGAGCUACGUCCAAUAGUUCUACUGCCCCACAGCCUUGCCAGGGCUGGGGCAGCAAUCGGCUCGCCACCUCACUUUCCAGCACGGCUUCUGUGUAUUCAUUAGCUGGUGACGUUUCCUAGCACGAAGAUGAGGUGGAAUGGUCCAGGGGCGGGCCGCUUGCUUGGUUAUCAUGCAGCUCUUAAAGGCACUGGAGCGUUGGCAGGAAGAAAGGUGGCGACCCAAGUUGGUAAAACAAAGAAAUCACAGAAGUCUGAACACUCACUAAUCUUCCCUUACUUGAAGACCUGUUUGUAUGAUUGAGGGACAAACAAUUCUAUGGACCCAUCAAGCCAGAAGCUGCCUCACACUGGUGUAAUAUCAUUGAAACUUAUGGUACUUCUAGAUAAUCCAUUUAUUGAACAUUCAUCCUGAUUUGUUUGCAGAGAGAGUAGACAACACUGGCUAUUUAACAAGCAUUCAUUCUGAUUUGUUUGUGGGAAGGUUAGAUGAAGCAUCAAAGCAAAUAUUAUCCCA